GGAGAGAGGGCUGAGUGGGCAGCGAAGGGCCGAGAGUGCUUCAAGUAGCCCGUUCCCUAUUUCAUGACCUCCCUAGCCUCAGAGACACUCAAGACAAUGCUCAUUUCCUCUGAGUUCAGGUUUCAGCCCCUCCCCUUACCGGGAACCCCGGACUCUUCUUUCGAGGGUCAGAGGACAAAAGGUUUGGGCUGGCGGGAGGGAAGACCUUUUUUUUCCCAUUGAAAUCUCAGCCUCAACUCCCAGCUCUGACCCCGAAUACCCCGACGCUUACUCUUCUGCCCCUGGGAAGAACGGUCUCGAACCCAGCACCUAGAGGACUGCAGCGGCUGAGAUUCAGGACCCUGGCUAAGCUGCCAUUUUUCUCCAAUGAAAUGAAUGAAAAUCUGCUGAAAGGGAUCUUAGAGACCAUUUAAUCCAAGCUAUACCUGAUCAAGAACCAAUAUGUGGUUAAUCAGCCCUCACUGAAAGCAUCCUGGAUUUAGAGACAUCACCUGGAUUUGAGUCCUAGCUCAAACAUUGUGAACACCCACAUGACCAGAUCAGCCCAGAUCAGCCAGAUCAGCCCAGAAAACUUCUAUAGCUCUCAAGUGAAUACUAAAUAAUGACCUUACCCCCUAAAUGCCUUAGCCAAGACCCUCUAGGAGCCAACCUCCUUUGUGAAAUAGAAAUAAAUAAUACUGGCAUUACCUUAUUCACAAAGUGUUUUUGUAAACCUUGGUCCUCUCUUCCUUGCCCUUCCCCCCAUAUCAGCUGUACAUUUUAGCUUAAAUGACCGGCUGUUCCCUAUACAUGACAUUACAUCUCUGGCCUCUGUGACUCUGCACAGGCUGGCACCCCCCCCUUU